GGACAUGAGGGUGACCUAGCUGCGACAUCUGUCACUCCAUUGAUCUGGGUGUCUAGGUGGGUGCUUCCUUCCUCCCUCACUGCUCUGUGUGCAUCCCUCCCAAAGCUGUGUAAUCAGUGAAAGUGAAAGAUCUUCUCUGACAAACUGGUCUUUGUUCAUAGGUCUAAAUGGAGCUGGGAUCCUGUUAGAAUCUCCAAAAAAGCUCUCAAGAGUGAACAAAGUUCUGGUCUUAGGAAGCUUAACUUCUUGAAAACAGCAGAAGUCAUAAACAGUUGCAGAUAAUAUGUGCAUAAUAUAGCACAUGUU
rnacentral:snRNA from 1 species